GGAGGACUAGGAUAAUGGUAAUUCAGCGGUCUUGAAAACCGCCGGCCUCACGGCCUUGGGGGUUCGAAUCCCUCGUCCUCCG
rnacentral:tRNA from 1 species